rnacentral:rRNA from 1 species
UGGGGAAUAUUGGACAAUGGGCGCAAGCCUGAUUCAGCCAUGCCGCGUGAGUGAUGAAGGCCCUAGGGCUGUAAAGCUCUUCUGUGCGGGAAGAUAAUGACGGUACCGCAAGAAUAAGCCCCGGCUAACUUCGUGCCAGCAGCCGCGGUAAUACGAAGGGGGCUAGCGUUGCUCGGAAUCACUGGGCGUAAAGGGUGCGUAGGCGGGUCUUUAAGUCAGGGGUGAAAUCCUGGAGCUCAACUCCAGAACUGCCUUUGAUACUGAGGAUCUUGAGUUCGGGAGAGGUCAGUGGAACUGCUAGUGUAGAGGUGAAAUUCGUAGAUAUUCGCAAGAACACCAGUGGCGAAGGCGGCUCACUGGCCCGAUACUGACGCUGAGGCACGAAAGCGUGGGGAGCAAACA